GUUCUGUUUCUGGUGUGACCAUAAUAUAACAUUAUUUUGAGUUUUUCACCGCAAACAAAAGCUGAUGAAAAAUUUGCAAAAUUCUGGAGUAAAAUGAAGGUAGUGACCUAAAAUAUAAGACCGUACUUUUCCUUUGGAAAAUGGGGUGAAAAAAGAUAAGCCGUCUUGUAUUUUAGCCUCGAGAGGGACAGGGCGUUUCCUCCUGUCACUCAAUCACAUGCAAACAAGUGAAUCUAAGAGACACUCUUGAGUGGUUAGGCAAGCUAGCGAGCAACAGAGGAGGAGUUAUAUUGCUAAUUUUAAGACAAUACUAAUCAACGAAGCAGAGUCAUCAAAAUGAACUCUAAGUGUAGUUUACGAAAAAGAUACAUUUUGUUUGAAAAAAUAUGUUUCUAACCAUAAAAAGAGGGAUAUUUUCAGUUAAUAAUGGAGCCAAACAAACAGCCAUGGAUCAUCCCCCAAAUGUAAAUAAUUGAUCCUUGUUUUGUUUUUUUAUAUAUAUACCUCCAUCACAUCGGGUAUGGUUUUAAGUGGCGUUCGGGCGCCGUGUCGAAACAGGACUUGAACCAGUUUCAGCUCAUACAGUUUUGAGUCGCCACUUUGGUUUUUCCGCUUCCACCACAGCACUGAACCCAAGGCAAUGGACACGGAGCCAAAGAAGCCAACUUUGGUCCAAAGUUUCCUCAUGGCGGUGCUGUAAAGAGAAUACAAUUUAUCAUCAGGUGAGUAAUAAUGUAAUUUAUCAACAAAAACAUAGGUAUUUUAGUGCUGCACGGUGGCCUUGUGUUUAACAUGUCGACAUAGCAGUCUGGAGAUCCAAGUUUAAAUCUCUCUUUUGCAUGUUCUCCACUGCGCUUGUCUUGGCAAACUAAACACAAGGUCAAAGCCUUCAUCCACCCAAACAACAGAAGAGCGUCAUUUCAAAAUGUGAGUUUGGCUCCUAUUUUCCCCCAGAGGAGAGAACUGGAAUCACAGUCAAAAAUUUCCCAACAGCUGAAGGUCAUUCAGCAAACAGGAAGGCUCUCGCCUAAAGAAAAAAACACUCCUUUAAGUCUGUGGCUUCAGCUCAGACUUCAGUACAACAAACACUGCUCUAGGAGAGUUUUUCCUAGUGCAGUAGUGCCCAACUGUUUGUAGGGACCAGGGUGGCUGACGUAUUUUUGGCCGUCUGGGGAUGCGCGAUGAAAACGUUUGCUGCCCUCUAUCGUUUUGCAGAAAUGUUGCCGAGGCAUAUCAUCUUUC